GAACGGUUGGCUUAGUUGGUAAGAGCGCUCGCACGAAACGCGAGUGGUCGCGGGUUCGAGUCCCGCAUCGUUCA